rnacentral:rRNA from 1 species
UUUAUGGAGAGUUUGAUCCUGGCUCAGGAUGAACGCUGGCGGCGUGCCUAAUACAUGCAAGUCGAGCGAACUGACGAGGAGCUUGCUCCUUUGACGUUAGCGGCGGACGGGUGAGUAACACGUGGGUAACCUACCUAUAAGACUGGAAUAACUCCGGGAAACCGGGGCUAAUGCCGGAUAACAUAUCGAACCGCAUGGUUCGAUAGUGAAAGACGGUCUUGCUGUCACUUAUAGAUGGACCCGCGCCGUAUUAGCUAGUUGGUGAGGUAAUGGCUCACCAAGGCAACGAUACGUAGCCGACCUGAGAGGGUGAUCGGCCACACUGGAACUGAGACACGGUCCAGACUCCUACGGGAGGCAGCAGUAGGGAAUCU